rnacentral:rRNA from 1 species
CGAAAUUUUUUGAGCUGACUUCGGGUGAGCGGCGGACGGGUGAGUAACGCGUGGGAAUAUGCCCUUUGGUACGGAAUAGUCCUGGGAAACUGGGGGUAAUACCGUAUGCGCCCUUCGGGGGAAAGAUUUAUCGCCAAAGGAUUAGCCCGCGUUGGAUUAGGUAGUUGGUGGGGUAAUGGCCUACCAAGCCGACGAUCCAUAGCUGGUUUGAGAGGAUGAUCAGCCACACUGGGACUGAGACACGGCCCAGACUCCUACGGGAGGCAGCAGUGGGGAAUCUUAGACAAUGGGGGCAACCCUGAUCUAGCCAUGCCGCGUGAGUGAUGAAGGCCCUAGGGUUGUAAAGCUCUUUCAGCUGGGAAGAUAAUGACGGUACCAGCAGAAGAAGCCCCGGCUAACUCCGUGCCAGCAGCCGCGGUAAUACGGAGGGGGCUAGCGUUGUUCGGAAUUACUGGGCGUAAAGCGCACGUAGGCGGACCGGAAAGUUGGGGGUGAAAUCCCGGGGCUCAACCCCGG